GCGCUCGUGGCGAAAUGGCAGACGCGCUAGUUUCAGGUUCUAGUGUCGAAAGACAUGGAGGUUCGAGUCCUCUCGAGCGCA
rnacentral:tRNA from 1 species